UCUCAGCUCUCUUGCUCUCUCUCUUUCCAGCUGGGCAGCGGGCUACAUUGUAAUACACAAACACACACACACACACACACACGCUCGCUCUGCCUCUCUGACACAGACUCUCUACUUAGUGCGUUGGAGAGAGGACUGAGGCUCACACUAUCAGCACAGCUUCUCAAUGGGGGGACGCAGCCAAGAGCAGACAGAGCAGUCAUCACACUGGAGCCUUCCGCUGCACUCGUGAGAAGGAGAUAGCAAGUGAGGAGGGGUAAAUUAGCUCCCUGUCAUCACAACAUAGGAGUUCUACUAACGGAGAAGAGUCACAGACUGAAGGAAGGAGAAGAUAAGAGAUCUGCAUGUUUGUGGCUGAUUAAGCAGUGACGUGAUCAGCCUCCCAUCACCUCAAAUCCUGGCCAGUUUGUGACACAGACCCCUGGGUGUUUCGCUUUUGGUGACUGUGUUGCCAAGGAUUUAAAAAGGAACUGAGAAGCAGGGGUCCAGAGGAGUGAAUACUGAGGGGGGUUUGAGGGGCGGGGGGCAGCAUUAUAGCCCCUUUUGCGCGCUGUUCGGCGUUUCUGUUACUGGAAUUUCGGGCUGGAAUCCCUGGCAACCAAGUAUGGAUGGAUUUAAGACAGAGGAGUGAGUCUGCUGGGCAGACAGGCAGGCAGUGAUUCUGACUGAGCUCCUUUCCUCCUGAACACACUGCUCAGACUCGGCCUUACCAUGUCCUGGUUGUUGGCCAUGUGGAUUAGCCUCGGCUUCCUGCUGUUGUGCCAGGCCACACUCUACCAGACCAUUCAGCAGCACCAUGUGGCCCGGCCCGGUCGCACCGACAUUCUCACCCUGGAGGGAGGUACGUGUGAAGUGAUUGCUGCCCACAGAUGCUGUAACAAGAAUCGUAUUGAGGAGCGUUCUCAGACAGUCAAGUGCUCCUGUUUACCGGGGAAAGUGGCCGGGACAACACGCAACAAACCCUCCUGUGUGGAUGCGUCCAUUGUAAUUGGGAAAUGGUGGUGUGAGAUGGAACCAUGUCUGGAGGGAGAAGAGUGUAAGACUCUGCCUGACAACUCUGGAUGGAUGUGCUCCUCUGGGAACAAAAUCAAGACCACAAGAAACACCCAGCCAUACUCACCUUUUUAGCUUCCGGAAGCAAAAUGCAGAGGAUGGGUCAACAGAAAUUGAGCUGCAUUCUUGCUUCUGUAAAGAUUCAUCCCAGGACCUAACAGAGAGCUCCCAUUGCAGGGCUGCGUGCCAGGCUCUUCCCUUCAUCUACCCUUGCUCUUCCCACCGAACGGACAAAAACUAUUACAUCCACGGCUACUGACUGGAUUACCUGGGACCACAGAAAGGAUAUCAACCCAGAUAAAACAGAUUUGCUCGUGUGGUGCCAAGGAUUUGAAACCAGACUAAUCCCUUGUUUGAUCAAUGAGCCCCAUGUUGGUGACUCUCCUCUUCCACACAGCUGUGGCCAGUUUCCAACCUACUCUCUCUCUGUUUCCCUCACUCAGUAUCCCGCUCAAAAACUGAAAAGGCUUUGCAGGGGUUAUUUAGAAGUUGUUAAUACAUUAUAUAAAGACAUUCACCCUGCCUGAAGAUAAACAGGUGUAGAAGACCGGAACAUGGGAUCCACAGAAGCGAGGGCAAAAUUAGGGAAAUUAACUUCAUACCCUUGCAUUUCUGUGGCAGGCAUUUGUAUUGGACUUGCUACCCAAGCAGGACAGCCUUGCUGUGACAACCCUGGUUUUGAGGUUGGCUAAAAAACACUGGAUUUUUAGUGACCAGAGACCACUAGCAGCCUAUAAUGAGUUAAUGAAGACUCUUUGAAAGGCAUUAGGGUCCACAUGGCCUCACCUUCAUCCUUCAUUAUGGACAUUUUGACUUUUAUUCGUGGGCAUGCCCGAUUUAAAUUCAUGAGCACUUCUUUUCUUUGUAUGUAAAAUAAUUUGUGUGUAUAUACAUAUAUAAAUACAUCACAUAUAAGAUGACAGAUUCAAAAAGCUGAAAAAUAUAUUUAAGACUCUAUUAGGAGCUUGAGCCCCAUGGUGGAAUAUUGAUCGGCCACUGAAUAUUACAGUUCAUACUUAUUCAGAGCCUGUUGUCCCAAUACAGAAGGACCUUUGCAGUAUAUGCUUGCUUUGAAAAAAGCCACAACAGAGUCAGAAAAAUAAGUACUGGUCACUUUUGUCGUUCAGCAAUGUAAAGCCAGAAAAUGCUUGUAGUUUCUGUAAAGAUGAGGAAAACACUGUAUAGAACUGCCUCACAAACGAAAGCAGCACUAACAACAACCCCUGAGCUUUCCACUCAGAGACAGUAGGGACACAGAACAGCAGCAGAACAACUCAGACCAUAAUCGGACAGUUAGUGUCUAUUUCUGCUGUGGAAUGUGGUCAUGGGCAACUGCGCGACUGUGUUUGUCGUGUAGAUCUCUCUUUCUCGCACCAGAGAGAGAUGAUUUAUUCAAAAUGACAAUGAGAAAGUAUUAGUCCCUAUGGAGAAACAUGCAGUUACCCCCCAGAAGAUAUAAGUAAAUAAAAGGACAGCCUUAUGGGAAAUAAAAAUGGGUUUCUAUACUGA